GAUUGUUACAGCUCUCUUAGAAUUUUUCCAGCAGGGUUUCUGACCCUGCUCAGAAAACCCAA
ensembl:snRNA LOC120100209 U7 small nuclear RNA